UCUGGAGGGUCUGGGCUCUCACCAGUCUCUUGGCCCAAGAUUUGGGGUCCCGACGUGCCAUCAUCUUCGUCUCCUGGGGGUUUUAUGACCGCCUUUUUCAGGGGUGGACUGUUGGGCCACCUGAAACACACACAAACACACACAUGUCGAUGGUUAAGCACGUUGGAUAUUCACACACCCACAGGAAGCCACCUGCUAACUCCCUGCCUGUGUGGUCAUGAGGAGACCUCACCACCAGUCGGUCAAAUCUGUAGAACACAAUGUGCUGUGCGCAUCCUCGGAUAUUGUGUGUUCCUCUGCCAUGACUACCUAGUCCAAGAGUAAACCCCACCUGCCACAGGGCCCGUGGCCUAGGUAUGGGGGGUUGAGCUUUCAACCCCAAACAAACAACUGAUUCUGGAGACUGGACUUAGGUCUCUCACGAUUCACUCCGGUAGAAGACACGGUGAUUCUAUCUCCCUUGACGGACAGAAUGAUCGAAGACACAGGGCAUGGCGUGUGCCACCCUUUGGCAGGUCUGCUUGAAGUCACGGAUAAGGGAUGCUUCCUGUGACAACUUGAAUCGCUACUCUUGCCAUUUCAUUAGGCAACUUCCAAACACAAAUUCAUACAGAGAAGUUACCUUCCUCUCUACCGCACUAGCAGGCUGGCGCUGAGAUGGGCAGGUGCUGCAGCAGCCCGGCUGGAAGCGAUGCAGCAUCCAGGACGACGGAGGAAGGGGCGGAGAGGGACCUCCGCUUUCCAGGCUGCCUUUUAUACUGCCUCUGGUCACCUGACAUGGAACGUACCCUAACCUAAUCAGUUACCUGUACCUUAAUUGCAAUUAACUUAAUCCAAUUACAUGACCUGGAAAGGUCUAUCUGCACAGCCCACUCUAAGAUCAUGUCCACUGCUGACAGACAUUCUAAAACCUACUUGUACAGCUGCAAGCUUUGAACAAUAGAUGUUCCCCGUCAGACAUGUAACACUGGUGCCUGUACCCCUGUCUUCUUUUCCAUCUUUUUUGUUGUUUUGUUUUGUUUUGUUUUAAAAAAUGUGGUAAAAUAGACACCUUUUAAUUGGACCACAUUUUGUCUAUCUCGACGUAGGCCUCAGUGUCAUCAAGGAGACUCUCCUUGACAUGCAGUCACGGCCAUGAUCCAUCUUCAGAGCUUCUCUUUCUUCCCCAAGGCUGGCGCUGAGAUGGGCAGGUGCUGCAGCAGCCCGGCUGGAAGCGAUGCAGCAUCCAGAACGACGGAGGAAGGGGCGGAGAGGGACCUCUGCUUUCCAGGCUGCCUUUUAUACUGCCUCUGGUCACCUGACAUGGAACGUACCCUAACCUAAUCAGUUACCUGUACCUUAAUUGCAAUUAACUUAAUCCAAUUACAUGACCUGGAAAGGUCUAUCUGCACAGCCCACUCUAAGAUCCUGUCCACUGCUGACAGACAUUCUAAAACCUACUUGUACAGCUGCAAGCUUUGAACAAUAGAUGUUCCCCGUCAGACAUGUAACACUGGUGCCUGUACCCCUGUCUUCUUUUCCAUCUUUUUUGUUGUUUUGUUUUGUUUCGUUUUAAAAAAUGUGGUAAAAUAGACACCUUUUAAUUGGACCACAUUUUGUCUCUCUCGACGUAGGCCUCAGUGUCAUCAAGGAGACUCUCCUUGACAUGCAGUCACGGCCAUGAUCCAUCUUCAGAGCUUCUCUUUCUUCCCCAAGGUAAGUCUGUCAGCAGAGAACCCUGACCGCACCCUCAUGUGUUUUCUCCCCCAGGAGGCGCUUGGAAACCACCGUGAAUUGGACCGCACUGGGAAACACAGAUGAGGAAAGUCAACAACGCUUUGUCCUUCAGUGCCUGGCUCCUUUUUCAGCUCCUCUUGCGACUCCAGGCAUUAUGCCUGAAAAGUCUCCCGGACGCCUGUGAGGCUGUAAUUCCCUGGGUCCCAUUGCCAUGUCUCUGGAUUUGCGAAGAUCCACCGCACCUUCUGUGGAACUCCCGUGUCGGUGAACUUUUGUGCCACGGCCCCUAAUUCUGCCCGUGGUCAUCCGCACCUGCACGACUUAGGGUCCAUGUUCCUUGGACGGGAAGAGACAGGCAGGAGUCGGAAUGAUGAACCAGCACACUGGGGCGUUUUCUCAUGUAGCCCAAGUGACCCCAUGGUCUUCUCGAGCUUUGGAACCAGUCGCGUCCCCUUUGACACUGCACCCGGCUCCCAGUCUCUCAAUCUUGUUGGCCCUCCGGCGAUCUCCCGUUGGAUGAAUUGCUCCUGCUGAAACUCCAGUCCCCUUUGAUUUGCGCUUCAUUAAUUAUUCAUGAUUCAGGUUGGAAGGCCUGCUGACGACCCCCUGUGGCGGUUCUCUGAGCUUUCCUGUCACAUCGUUUCCUUCCACGCUCUUUGGUUCCUUAUGGUCCUGCUCCCUCUGCUGUCAGAGGAGCAGAGAGUUGAUCUUAUUCAUUCUGGAUACGGAUACUUUCUAGGUGAUCUGGAUAAUCAAGAUAACGACCCUCAACAGCGGCGGAGAGGGAGCAGCCAGUUGGUGUGUCUCAGAAAAUCCCACUGAGUUCCGAGGCCUCCUAGAUGUGGAAUCCUGCUGAGAGUUGUUCCCAGGUCAGAGAAUGGAGAGAGCCUGUGCAUGAUGGGAUAUCCCUGCCUAGAUCUUUCAGUGAGUCUCUACCUCAGCUACUCUUAGGAUCAGGGGGAGAACCAUGGUGUCAGACAUCCGGAAAGAAGACGGGAUGAAUGUUUUACCUCUGAAGUACAUCCCGAAUGUGGGAGUUAACUUCAGCUUUGCUGGGGUCUAUUUGGCCAGUGAAACUCUGCCUGGUUCCUUCGCACAUCCGGAAGCCACUUCACGGGGGGCCGUCGCAACUGGAACCACACACUUGGCAUCGGCGGUUGAGCCAAAUGGGGACUCGUGGUGCAAGCAACGCUCCCCACGUGUUAGCGUGCGUGAGAUGCGGUUGGCGGAAUUUUACUAGGUGCGUGUUGGUAGAGUGGGGCUGAGGUUUUCUUGCUCCUGUGGAUGUAUAGCAAGUCAAAGGUCCUGCCCAGCCCUGCGGUCCCCUCAGUCAACUCUGUUUCGGAGACGUAACGAUUUGGAUUGCCAACAAGUCAAGAAAUGUUCAAGCCCUUGGAUGUAGGGUAAAGAAAGAGAGAUCAGACUGUCACUGUGUCUAUGUAGAAGGGGAAGACAUAAGAGACUCCAUUUUGAAAAAGACCUGUAGUUUAAACAAUUGCUUUGCUGAGAUGUUGUUCAUUUGUUGCCUUGCCUCAUCCACUUUGCCCCAGCCCCUUUGACCCAACUUGGAGCUCAGAAAACCUGUGUUGUAUAAAAUCGAGGUUUAGGGGAUCUAGGGCUGUGCAGGACGUGCUUUGUUAACCAAAUGUUUACAAGCAGUAUACUUGGUAAAAGUCAUUGCCAUUCUCUAGUUUCAAUAAACCAGGGGCACUAUGCACCGUGGAAAGCCGCAGCGACCUCUACCCUUGAAAGCAGGUUAUUGUCCAAGGUUUCUCCCCAUGUAACAGUCUGAAAUAUGGCCCUGUGGGAUGGGAAAUACCUGACUGGCCCCCAGCCUGAGACCCGUAAAGGGUCUGUGCCGAGGUGGAGUAGUCAAAGAGGAAAGCCUCUUGCAAUUUAGAUGGAGGACAGCCACUGUCUCCCGCAUCCCACCUUGCCUCCCUGGCUCUUAGGACCCGCAUCGCAGGGUGUGAGGCACUCCCCCCGUUUCGGGUUGUAAGAGCCAAACCCUCUUGCCCCCCUGGCUCUUAGUUUCCCCCAUCGCAGCGGGGUGAGUCACGUCCUGCUAUGCUUGGGGUAAGAGCCAGCCCCUCUUGCCCCCCUGGCUCUCAGGACCCCCAUCGCAGUGGUGUGAGGCACGCCCCUUGAUGCGGGUAUUAAGAGCCUUCCCAUCUUACCUCCUGGCUCUUAGGACCCCCAUCGCAGGGGGUGAGGCACGCCCCGCCAUGCGGAGAGUAAGAGCUAACCCCUCUUGCCCCCCUGGUUUUUAGGAUCCGCGGUGGACUCACAGCCUGUUUAUCAUAUUGUGAGUAAUAUCGUCUCCCGCUCUGGAGAUUGUGAACUGUUUCACCCACCGGUGUUCACCCCGGCGUACAGAGGUUGUACACCCGUCUGUAUUGGGAGUCAUAUCAUCCUCUUCCUCUCUGAAUAUUAAGAACAGUAUCACAGGGGUGUUUCUACUCCCUGGGAUAUCGCGUGUCAUAUCCUCCUCUCCCACGUUGCAAUUAGAAACAAUAUCAGUGGGGGCGUGUCCACCUUCUGUGAUACUGAAAGCAAUAUCAUCCUCUUCCCUCCAGGAUCGUGGGAACAAUAUCCUUGGGGGUGUCCACUUUCUGCCAUAUGUGUAGUCAUAUCACCCCCUCCGCCUUGGAAUAUUAUUAAGAACCAUGUCACACGGGGGUGUACACUUCCUACGAUGUUGGGAGUAAUAGCAUUCUCUUCUUCCAUGAAUAUUAGGAACAAAAUCACCGGGUGGAUGCACACCCAGUGCUAUAUUGGGAGUAAUGUCAUACUCCACCCCCUGGAGAUUAUAUUCGGAUCAAUAUCACCGGCUGGGUGUGCACCUGCUGCGAUAUUGAACGUAAUAUCAUGCUCUCUCCCUCCCUGAACAUUAGGAACAAUAUCACAGGUGGGUGUACACCCACUGAGGUAUUAGGGCAUACUAUUAGUAUGAAUUAUUCCUUGUUUUUUAUUAACAUGAAUAUGAAUGGCCGAUAUUAAUAUUAAUAUUAAGAAGUAAUUGCUAAUAAAAAGUUCUCAGAUUAUUAA